rnacentral:tRNA from 1 species
GCCUGGGUGGCUCAGUCGGUUGAGCAUCCGACUUCGGCUCAGGACACAAUCUCAUGGUUUGUGGGUUCAAGCCUCACGUUGGGCU